AAUAGCCAGGAGGGGCUGAGCAGUAGUAGCAAAAGCUACAGAGAAAUGGCAAAGAUGGCAAAAGCCAUCUCUUAAGAGGAUGUUUCAUCUGAUGGGCAUACAAAUUUGCUUACUAUACAUCACUUUUUUAUGGAGAGCAGGUUCAAGUACCCCUAAGAGAUGCACACCUCCAGCAAAGGAGACUGAGAAAGAGGAGACAGAGAGAAGAUUUACAAAACAAAAUCUAGAAGAAAUUAUCCAAAAUGCAUGGAAAAGGGAUCCUAUGCAGCUCUAAAAUAAUCUGAUUUCAACCUUUCCUUGACCAUUUUAGUGGUCACAUUCCUUUCUCCAUUUUCUGAACUCACAAGCACUUAUCAACUGCAUUUUUCACCUAGAUCUUAAUCAUAUGUUAAGAGACCUGUAAUUUCAUCAGUAUAGAGAAACUCCCUCUGCUAAUAUAAAUUAACAACUCAUCUGUAA